rnacentral:rRNA from 1 species
AGCGAACGCUGGCGGCAGGCUUAACACAUGCAAGUCGAGCGGGCGUAGCAAUACGUCAGCGGCAGACGGGUGAGUAACGCGUGGGAACGUACCUUUUGGUUCGGAACAACACAGGGAAACUUGUACUAAUACCGGAUAAGCCCUUACGGGGAAAGAUUUAUCGCCGAAAGAUCGGCCCGCGUCUGAUUAGCUAGUUGGUGAGGUAACGGCUCACCAAGGCGACGAUCAGUAGCUGGUCUGAGAGGAUGAUCAGCCACAUUGGGACUGAGACACGGCCCAAACUCCUACGGGAGGCAGCAGUGGGGAAUAUUGGACAAUGGGCGCAAGCCUGAUCCAGCCAUGCCGCGUGAGUGAUGAAGGCCCUAGGGUUGUAAAGCUCUUUUGUGCGGGAAGAUAAUGACGGUACCGCAAG